rnacentral:rRNA from 1 species
GUGUCAGCCGCCGCGGUAAUACGAAGGGGGCUAGCGUUGCUCGGAAUCACUGGGCGUAAAGGGCGCGUAGGCGGAUCUUUAAGUCGGGGGUGAAAGCCCAGGGCUCAACCCUGGAAUGGCCUUCGAUACUGGAGAUCUUGAGACCGGAAGAGGUAAGUGGAACUGCGAGUGUAGAGGUGAAAUUCGUAGAUAUUCGCAAGAACACCAGUGGCGAAGGCGGCUUACUGGUCCGGUUCUGACGCUGAGGCGCGAAAGCGUGGGGAGCAAACAGGAUUAGAUACCCUGGUAGUCCACGCUGUAAACGAUGGAUGCCAGCUGUUGGCCGGCUUGCCGGUCAGUAGCGCAGCUAACGCUUUAAGCAUCCCGCCUGGGGAGUACGGUCGCAAGAUUAAA